AAGUCAACGCGUCGAUGACGUGCUCCCCCUUGCGCUUGUAUAUGUGGAUGAUGUUGUUCGGGCCGUCCUGCGGGGCCGCUU